rnacentral:tRNA from 1 species
AGCUGGGCCCAUAGCUCAGUGGUAGAGCACUUGCCUAGCAUGUGUGAGGCACUGGGUUUGAUACCCAGCAUAGCUA